GACAGGGGCCCUUUCUCAUUUCAUCAAAUUCCCCUCCUCGACUCCUCGACCCCUCGGUCCUCCGGUAGUGACCCGUAAAUUAAUUUCAGCGCGCUAUGUUGAAGGACAUCUAAUUUCUCUAAAUGCACUUCGAGGACCGAGCAUCGAGCGUCGAGG